UACGUAGGCGGGACUUUAAGUCAGUGGUGAAAGCCUCCAGCUCAACUGGAGAAUUGCCAUUGAAACUGAAGUUCUUGAGUAUGGAUGAGGUGGUUGGAAUAUAACAUGUAGCGGUGAAAUGCAUAGAUAUGUUAUAGAACACCGAUUGCGAAGGCAGAUCACUAAACCAUUACUGACGCUGAGGCACGAAAGCGUGGGGAGCGAACAGGAUUAGAUACCCUGGUAGUCC
rnacentral:rRNA from 1 species